GAACCCGUGUCCCCUGCAUCGGCAGGCGGACUUCAACCACUGCGCCACCAGGGAAGCCAGUUGUUAAGGUUUUGACACACUUGACAUUUACUAUGUUUAAUCCUCCCAACAGCCCUGUGAAAAAGGUGCUACUUCCCUCUUGCAGAUUGCGGAAGUGUUGACACAGAGAUAUUAGUAACUUUCGCAACAUCACUCAAGGUAGAUCCCCAACAGGCAGACAUGGAACUUGCUCCGGCCACCAGGUUAUCCUGCUUCUCGAGUUGACUAAUAUCUUCUCCUCCUUCUUCUCCUGUUCCUCCGUAUCCUCAGUGAUGUGGGCAGAUGCCUAUGCGUUUUCAUAGGCAGCUGCUCUUUCCCCUGCCUGAUGUCGGUACCAUGUACACUUCUUCUUUCUAAAUUUAGGCAUCACUGACAGUCUUAGGCUAUGAAAAUGUCCUUCUGGGUCAAGAGUUAGAAUCAGCCUCAUGGGUUUGCAAUCUUCCAUCUAUGACUUAUGACCAGCAUCUAUCUCCAGGCCAAGAAAGGUGAAGAUAUUUGCUCCUAAUGUUGAGCAGAUGCACAUUAUUAAUCACUUGAAAGAGAGCCCAACAGAAGAGCAGAGAAAUAUGCCGGAGGAAAGUGCCAGGAGGGCCCAUGGGGAUGUACAAGACUUGGCAGACCUGAACUUCAGCAAGCUUGAUGCAGUCAGGAUACCUGGUGGUUUUGGGGUGACCCAGAGCUGCACUGUCAACAGUUCUGUAAAGGACAUUUCAACCCUUCUGCUGCGCUAAGAAGCCCAUGAGCUGGUGCUGCCUUUCCCUGUGCUGGCAGCUGAAACCUUCCUGCUUGUGAAGUCACAGUGGGUCAGGAUAAUAUUGUGGAUAGAGAAGAAAAGGAUGAAAAGCUUCCUGUCAG